rnacentral:rRNA from 1 species
AUUGAACGCUGGCGGCAGGCCUAACACAUGCAAGUCGAGCGAGCGGCGGACGGGUGAGUAAUGUAUGGGGACUGCCCGAUAGAGGGGGAUAACUACUGGAAACGGUGGCUAAUACCGCAUACUAUCGGAUAACCCAUAUGGGAUUAGCUAGUAGGUGGGGUAAAGGCUCACCUAGGCGACGAUCUCUAGCUGGUCUGAGAGGAUGAUGAGCCGCACUGGGACUGAGACACGGCCCCGACUCCUUCGGAGGCAGCAGUGGAGAUGAUUGCACUAUCGGCGCAAGCCUGAUGCAGCCAUGCCGCGAGUAUGAAGAUGGCCUUAGGGUGGUAAAGUACUUGCAGCGUGGAGGCGUUACCCGCAGAUGAUGCACCGGCUAACUCCGUGCCAGCAGCCGCGGUAAUUC